rnacentral:rRNA from 1 species
UAGAUACCCUGGUAGUCCACGCCGUAAACGAUGAGUGCUAAGUGUUGGGGGGUUUCCGCCCCUCAGUGCUGCAGCUAACGCAUUAAGCACUCCGCCUGGGGAGUACGGUCGCAAGACUGAAACUCAAAGGAAUUGACGGGGGCCCGCACAAGCGGUGGAGCAUGUGGUUUAAUUCGAAGCAACGCGAAGAACCUUACCAGGUCUUGACAUCCCAUUGACCACUGUAGAGAUACAGUUUUCCCUUCGGGGACAACGGUGACAGGUGGUGCAUGGUUGUCGUCAGCUCGUGUCGUGAGAUGUUGGGUUAAGUCCCGCAACGAGCGCAACCCUUGUUCUUAGUUGCCAUCAUUUAGUUGGGCACUCUAAGGAGACUGCCGGUGAUAAACCGGAGGAAGGUGGGGAUGACGUCAAAUCAUCAUGCCCCUUAUGACCUGGGCUACACACGUGCUACAAUGGACGAUACAAACGGUUGCCAACCCGCGAGGGGGAGCUAAUCCGAUAAAAUCGUUCUCAGUUCGGAUUGUAGGCUGCAACUCGCCUACAUGAAGCCGGAAUCGCUAGUAAUCGUGGAUCAGCAUGCCACGGUGAAUACGUUCCCGGGCCUUGUACACACCGCCCGUCACACCACGAGAGUUUGUAACACCCGAAGUCGGUGAGGUAACCUUUAUGGAGCCAGCCGCCGAAG